GGAGGUAGUGACAAUAAAUCACAAUGCGGAACUUUUAGUUUUGCAAUUGGAUUGAGAACAAUGUACAAAUGUUAUCGAUAAACAAUUGGAGGGCAAGUCUGGUGCCAGCAGCCGCGGUAAUUCCAGCUCCAAUAGCGUAUAUUAACGUUGUUGCAGUUAAAAAGCUCGUAGUUGAAAUGUGGGAUGAAGUAUAUAAUGAAUUUCUAAUUCAAUUAUAUAUUGAUUCCCCUCUCCAAUUUAUUAUUAUGGGUAUUAAUUUAUUUGUAAUAAGAAUUGGUCAUUUACUGUGAGAAAAUUAGAGUGUUCAAAGCAGGCAUUUGCUUGAAUAGAUUAGCAUGGAAUAAUACUAAAAGGCUUUUAUGGUCGAUUUAAUUGGUUUGUUCAUAAAAGCAAGAUUAAAAGGAACAGUUGGGGGUAUUCAUAUUCAAUAGUUAGAGGUGAAAUUCUCGGAUUUAUGGAAGAUGAACAA
rnacentral:rRNA from 1 species